CGCGCGCGCGGCCUCUAUCGGCCCUUCCGGCCCGGCGCGGGGACAGGAUGUCUCACCGCAAGUUCUCAGCUCCGAGGCAUGGGUCUCUGGGCUUCCUGCCCCGCAAGCGCAGUAGCAGGCACAGGGGCAAGGUGAAGAGCUUUCCCAAAGAUGACCCCAGCAAGCCUGUCCAUCUCACUGCCUUCUUGGGGUACAAAGCUGGUAUGACCCACAUUGUCCGUGAAGUCGACAGACCUGGAUCCAAGGUGAACAAAAAGGAGGUGGUCGAGGCAGUCACUAUAGUAGAGACUCCUCCCAUGGUCAUUGUGGGCAUUGUGGGAUACGUGCAGACUCCUCGUGGUCUCCGUAGCUUCAAGACCAUCUUUGCUGAGCACAUCAGUGAUGAGUGUAAGCGUCGCUUCUACAAGAACUGGCACAAGUCCAAGAAGAAGGCCUUCACCAAAUAUUGCAAGAAAUGGCAAGAUGAGGAGGGCAAAAAGCAGCUGGAGAAAGAUUUCAAUAGCAUGAAGAAAUACUGCCAGGUUAUUAGAGUCAUGGCUCACACUCAGAUGCGUUUGCUUCCCCUGAGGCAGAAGAAGUCUCACCUAAUGGAGAUCCAGGUGAAUGGUGGCACUGUUGCUGAGAAAGUGGAUUGGGCCCGGGAGAAGCUGGAACAGCAGGUGCCUGUGUCAACUGUGUUUGGCCAGGAUGAGAUGAUAGAUGUCAUCGGAGUCACCAAGGGCAAGGGUUAUAAAGGUGUUACCAGCCGUUGGCACACCAAAAAGCUGCCCCGCAAGACUCACAGGGGUCUGCGCAAAGUGGCCUGCAUUGGUGCAUGGCACCCUGCUCGUGUGGCUUUCUCUGUGGCCCGGGCUGGUCAGAAGGGGUAUCACCAUCGGACUGAAAUCAAUAAGAAGAUCUACAAGAUCGGCCAGGGUUACCAAAUCAAGGAUGGAAAGCUGAUCAAAAACAAUGCAUCGACUGAUUAUGACUUGUCUGACAAGAGCAUCAACCCUCUGGUGAGUUGUUGGCAGCUCUAUGGAGAGACUCUGCUUGUGAGCUGCGAUCCUAAGAGGCAAAUGGGCCUGGUGGAGGCUUUGUCCACUACGGUGAGGUGACCAAUGACUUCAUCAUGCUGAAGGGCUGUGUUGUUGGGACCAAGAAGAGGGUCCUAACCCUGCGCAAGUCCCUGCUUGUGCAGACCAAGCGCCGGGCCCUGGAGAAGAUUGACUUGAAGUUCAUUGACACAACCUCCAAAUUUGGUCAUGGCCGCUUCCAGACAGCUGAGGAGAAGAAGUCUUUCAUGGGACCACUCAAGAAAGAUCGUACUGCAAAAGAGGAGACAGCUUAAUGUGUGGAACGGUCUUGUGUCCUGUGUGUGCUCAGACCAAAAAAUAAAUAUUUUAAAGAAAUGAA